UCGGAGACGGUGCUCGUGCGGGCGGUGAUGCGACACGCUUAUCCGAAAGACUCUCGGCAACGGAUAUCUCGGCUCUUGCAUCGAUAAGAACGUAGCGAAAUGCGAUACUUGGUGUGAAUUGCAGAAUCCCGUGAACCAUCGAGUCUUUGAACGCAAGUUGCGCCCGAAGCCAUUAGGCUGAGGGCACGCCUGCCUGGGUGUCGCCCAUCGUUGCCCCAUUGCUUUGGCCUCGUGCUAGGCACCGAGCUGGGUGAAUGCUGGCUUCCCGCGAGCAACGCCUCACGGUUGGUUGAAAACUGAGUCCGUGGUGGAGGGCGGUGCCGUGACGGAUGGUGGCUGUU
rnacentral:rRNA from 1 species